rnacentral:rRNA from 1 species
CAGAUAAGGAGCUUGCUCCUUUGAAGUUAGCGGCGGACGGGUGAGUAACACGUGGGUAACCUACCUAUAAGACUGGAAUAACUUCGGGAAACCGGAGCUAAUGCCGGAUAACAUAUAGAACCGCAUGGUUCUAUAGUGAAAGAUGGUUUUGCUAUCACUUAUAGAUGGACCCGCGCCGUAUUAGCUAGUUGGUAAGGUAAUGGCUUACCAAGGCGACGAUACGUAGCCGACCUGAGAGGGUGAUCGGCCACACUGGAACUGAGACACGGUCCAGACUCCUACGGGAGGCAGCAGUAGGGAAUCUUCCGCAAUGGGCGAAAGCCUGACGGAGCAACGCCGCGUGAGUGAUGAAGGUUUUCGGAUCGUAAAACUCUGUUAUUAGGGAAGAACAAAUGCGUAAGUAACUGUGCGCAUCUUGACGGUACCUAAUCAGAAAGCCACGGCUAACUACGUGCCAGCAGCCGCGGUAAUACGUAGGUGGCAAGCGUUAUCCGGAAUUAUUGGGCGUAAAGCGCGCGUAGGCGGUUUCUUAAGUCUGAUGUGAAAGCCCACGGCUCAACCGUGGAGGGUCAUUGGAAACUGGGAAACUUGAGUGCAGAAGAGGAAAGUGGAAUUCCAUGUGUAGCGGUGAAAUGCGCAGAGAUAUGGAGGAA